GUGCCGGCUCGGGCAGCACAUGUACUAAAACUGAAGCAAUACAGACAAGAUUAGCACGGUCCUUGUGCUAGGGAAACACAAAUUCAUGAAGCAUUCUAUAUAUAG